GAUGAAGAACGCAGUGAAAUGCGAUACGUAAUGUGAAUUGCAGAAUUCAGUGAAUCAUCGAGUCUUUGAACGCACAUUGCGCCCCCUGGUAUUCCGGGGGGCAUGCCUGUCCGAGCGUCAUUGCUGCCCUCAAGCACGGCUUGUGUGUUGGGCCUUCGUCCUCCUCCCGGGGGACGGGCCCGAAAGGCAGCGGCGGCACCGCGUCCGGUCCUCGAGCGUAUGGGGCUUCGUCACCCGCUCUUGUAGGCCCGGCCGGCGCUUGCCGACACAUCAAUCUUUUUUCCAGGUUGACCUCGGAUCAGGUAGGGAUACCCGCUGAACUUAAGCAUAUCAAUAAGCGAGGA
rnacentral:misc_RNA from 1 species